UAGCUGCAUCUCUCCCGAUCCCCUCUCUCUCCCUUCACGAUAGAUUUUCUUGGCUGCCGCCGACAACUCCGGUCUCCGCCUCCUGCCACCGCCAGUAUAUACUCCUUCCCAUGCGCUGCUCUGAUGCCCUGCUGCCGCUCUAGGCCCCAGUUCGAGGCUCCUCCUCUGCAGCCUCCGCCUCCUCCUCCCAAAUCUGGAUAUAUGCACCGACCAGCAGUGGAUCUCGGGGAGGGGCGUCGGUGCCGGUUCCGAUGUGGGCGAGGUCAAGGUGGGGAUGAUGGCAGCGACGGAGGACAUGUCGAGUACGCCCAACGGUGGUGGGGCAGGCGGGGCGACGGUGCUCUGGCCCGACACGGACGAGCUCGAGGCUUGCACGGCGGCGGCUGAGCGCGGGUCGAGCGCGACUGGCGCGAGCGAUCCCUGAUAGGGAUGGUGUUGGAUCGGGAUGGGGUUGGACAUCUGCGACCACAGAGGUACUUUACUACAGUUCAUAUGCGAAGUUGGCUAGAAGAGAGGGCUCACUUGCGGAAGGUUAUUAGUAACCUAAGGAGAAUAUUACAAUGAGACUGCAAACGACGCCGGUGGAUUGGUGUCUAUAGUUCCCUUGCCGCCUAUGAGCUGGAGGUCUCGAUGAUAAGUGCAACAUAUUGUGCAAAGGAAUGAAGAUGGUUUAUUUGAAUCCCAGGAAAUGCAGCCCACUGGUGCAUCAGUGCUUUGUUUAUCGCCAGUGGCCCCACCUGUAACAGAGUUGAUCGCUGGAUCGGCUGCGUUUGGAACCUAUGCCCGGGCAAACGUGGCGUCGUAUCUCUCUACAUUGCAGAAAGGGGAAAGAUUAGUGGUGCAGCCGGCGCAUGUGCGAUUAGGGCCGCGGCUGGCGUGUCACCGUGUGGCUGAGCGCGUCUGUGCGGGGUGCUCACCGACCCUCCAAACUCUCAUGCUUAUACGACUCAGGACAAGGGACGCCUUCGAGAUGGCUUUUUAGCCAGGACAAGGGUGAAAGGAUAACACUAACACCAACGCCAGCUACCUCUGCAGGCUAUGGAGGGGUGUGGCUGGGGCACACGACACGACGGUGGUGCUGGCCAGACGGCUUCGUGCGCAAUGGAAGGGUGCUACGCCAAGGAAUUCGAGGUGACCUGACAUGCCGGAGAAGGAUGUUGAUAGGUGGCAGCUCGGGCGAUGGCUAUGGCUUGGCAGAAAAUCCAACAGAUCAGGGUUAGCGUAGGACGACACGCUGCCAACACUCCCUCGCUUCCCCUCCACGUUUCCCCACCGCUCCCUCUUUUCCCGAUCUCAUAUGCUACAUUUGAGGAAAUUGGGUGGACAACACAAUCCAGAUGUUAAGCAAGCCAGUGGAUCGUCAAUAAGCUGGAGGAAUGGCUGCUGCCUACAACUCCGUGAGUGUCGGAUCAAUUACUCUCCGUCAGCAACAUUGUAGCAGCAUCAAAUUCUUUCAGUGCCGUUUGCCGCUGAAGAUCUGCAGCUGAACCGUUCCUGCUUGUGCUGGUUCCUUUGCCUUCUCUGCUUGUAUGCGGUUGGUUUAAUUUACAUGUACUGUUUGUACUUCGAUUUAAUUAUGUAAGUGUAUUUUUAAAUAUAUUUUUUGUAAAUUGCAUUAGCUGCAGGCUAUGUUAUCAA